UUUUUGUUAAUUAAAUCAUUUUUAUUAUUUACAUUUUCACACAGCCCCCAGAUUAGAGUUGGGUGGUAUUUUCCUCAUAUUAAAUUAAUGCAACAAUCAGACUAUAACCAUCUAUAAUACAUAAAAACUCAGGGAAAGCCAGAGGGGUGCAGCUCGUUUCCUUCUGUUUGAACUGCUCUGAAAAUCACACUCGGCUCUCUUUGUUUGUAAAAGAUUCGAAGCCGAGCUUUAAAACACGGUGCUGUGAGCCAAAUCCCAUUUCCCCCUUCUCUGUCGGCAUAAACCCGUGCGUGUUUAUUUAAACGGAAAGCUUUUUCAUCGGAACCGUGUUGAAAAGCAAUCGGCUCACACUACUUCAUUUCUGUCUGAGGCGCUACGCUUCCCGCCUCAAAGGAUCGUGGCGCGCAGGUACAGAGGCGGGAAAUCCUCUGAACCAAUAAUGUUUCAUGAUGUUUCCCACGCUUGCGGCCUGAUUGAUUUCCCUGCUGGUUGAGUUUUCUUUCAGAUCAGCUACUGUCACGGCAGAGCAACAGUCUGAAGACAAUCUUGGUGAGCAAUGCAAAACAACAAGAGUUCUUCUAUAACGUGUGCUGGUCGUGUACAGAUGCUUCUGCGGAUUUGAAGGGAGGCCCUCGAGGCUGAUGCGAGGAUGAUGAGGAUGAUGAUGUGGGGCU